UACGUAGGGAGCAAGCGUUGUCCGGAAUCAUUGGGCGUAAAGGGCUCGUAGGUGGCCAACUAAGUCGGACGUGAAAUCCCUCGGCUUAACCGGGGAACUGCGUCUGAUACUGGAUGGCUUGAGUUCGGGAGAGGGAUGCGGAAUUCCAGGUGUAGCGGUGAAAUGCGUAGAUAUGCGGAGGAACACCGAUGGCGAAGGCAAUCCCCUGGGCCUGCACUGACGCUCAUGCACGAAAGCGUGGGGAGCAAACAGG
rnacentral:rRNA from 1 species